GAUGAACGCUAGCGGCAGGCCUAAUACAUGCAAGUCGAACGGUAACAUGAGUACUUGUACUUGAUGACGAGUGGCGCACGGGUGCGUAACGCGUAUGCAACCUACCCUUUACUGGGGGAUAGCCCGGAGAAAUUCGGAUUAAUACCCCAUGGUAUUAUCAGAUGGCAUCUGAAGAUAAUUAAAGAUUUAUUGGUAAAGGAUGGGCAUGCGUGACAUUAGUUAGUUGGUGAGGUAACGGCUCACCAAGACGAUGAUGUCUAGGGGUUCUGAGAGGAAGGUCCCCCACACUGGUACUGAGACACGGACCAGACUCCUACGGGAGGCAGCAGUAGGGAAUAUUGGGCAAUGGAGGCAACUCUGACCCAGCCAUGCCGCGUGCAGGAAGACAGCUUUCUGAGUUGUAAACUGCUUUUAUAUAGGAACAAAGAGGCCAUGCGUGGCAAGUUGCGUGUACUAUAUGAAUAAGCACCGGCUAACUCCGUGCCAGCCGCCGCCGUAACAC
rnacentral:rRNA from 1 species